rnacentral:rRNA from 1 species
CAGGAGGGACCACCCUCCAAGGCUAAAUACUACCUAGUGACCGAUAGCGUAUAGUACCGUGAGGGAAAGGUGAAAAGAACCCCGGGAGGGGAGUGAAAUAGAACCUGAAACCCUGCACUUACAAGCUGUGGAAGCACAUUUCUUGUGUGACCGCGUACUUUUUGUAGAACGGGCCAACGAGUUACGUUAAGUAGCAAGGUUAAGCACUUAAGGUGCGGAGCCGUAGCGAAAGCGAGUUUUAACUGAGCGUUCAGUUACUUGACGUAGACCCGAAACCGGGCGACCUACCCAUGAGCAGGAUGAAGCGAAAGUAAAAUUUCGUGGAGGUCCGAACCCACGAGCGUUGAAAAGCUCGGGGAUGACUUGUGGGUAGCGGUGAAAUUCCAAUCGAGCCCGGAGAUAGCUGGUUCUCCCCGAAAUAGCUUUAGGGCUAGCCUCAAGGUGAGAGAUACGGAGGUAGAGCACUGAAUGUCCUAGGGGGUAUUGCACCUACCGAAGACUAUCAAACUCCGAAUGCCGUCAUCUUAUACUUGGGAGUCAGACUGUGGGUGAUAAGAUUCAUAGUCGAAAGGGCAACAGCCCAGAUCGUCAGCUAAGGUCCCUAAAUGUAAGUUAAGUGGUAAAGGAUGUGGGAUUGCACAGACAACCAGGAUGUUGGCUUAGAAGCAGCCACUCAUUCAAAGAGUGCGUAAUAGCUCACUGGUCGAGUGAUCCUGCGCCGAAGAUUUCCGGGGCUAAAACUUACUACCGAAGCUACGGCAUCAGUAAUGAUGGGUAGGGGAGCUUCCCAUACGGGUUGAAGCAUGACCGUAAGGACAUGUGGACAGUAUGGGAGUGAGAAUGUUGGCAUGAGUAGCGAGAUGUGGGUGAGAAUCCCACAGGCCGUAAACCCAAGGUUUCCAGGGGAAGGUUCGUCCGCCCUGGGUUAGUCGGGACCUAAGCUGAGGCCGAAAGGCGUAGGUGAUGGACAACAGGUUGAUAUUCCUGUACUACCGAUAACCGUUUGAGAGAAGGGAUGACACAGUAGGAUAAGCUAAGCACACUGUUGGUUAUGUGUGCCCAAGCAUUGAGGCAGUCAAAGUAGGCAAAUCCGCUUUGAUAAUGCUGGGAUGUGAUGGGGAGCGAAAUUUAGUAGCGAAGUAGCUGAUUUCACACUGUCAAGAAAAGUCUCUAUCGAGGUUAAAGGUACCCGUACCGCAAACCGACACAGGUGGGUGAGGAGAGUAUCCUAAGGCCAGCGAGAGAACUGUUGUUAAGGAACUCGGCAAAAUGACCCCGUAACUUAGGGAUAAGGGGUGCCACCAUCAGGUGGCCGCAGAGAAUAGGCCCAAGCGACUGUUUACCAAAAACAUAGGUUUCUGCUAAGUCGCAAGACGAUGUAUAGGAGCUGACGCCUGCCCGGUGCUGGAAGGUUAAGGGGAUCUGUUAGAGCAAUCGAAGCAGUGAACUUAAGCCCCAGUAAACGGCGGCCGUAACUAUAACGGUCCUAAGGUAGCGAAAUUCCUUGUCGGGUAAGUUCCGACCCGCACGAAAGGCGUAACGAUUUGGGCACUGUCUCAACAACAGACUCGGUGAAAUUGUAAUUCCGGUGAAGAUGCCGGAUACCUGCGACAGGACGGAAAGACCCCAUGGAGCUUUACUGUAGCUUGACAUUGGGUCUUGGUACUACAUGUACAGGAUAGGUGGGAGGCUUUGAAACCAGGACGCCAGUUUUGGCGGAGCCAUCCUUGGGAUACCACCCUUGUAGUACUGGGACUCUAACCAUAGGCCAUGAAUCUGGUCUUGGGACACUGUCAGGUGGGCAGUUUGACUGGGGCGGUCGCCUCCCAAAAGGUAACGGAGGCGCUCAAAGGUUCUCUCAGUACGGUCGGAAAUCGUACGUAGAGUGUAAAGGCAAAAGAGAGCUUGAUUGCAAGACAUACAGGUCGAGCAAGGAUGAAAAUCGGACUUAGUGAUCCGGUGGUUCUGCGUGGAAGGGCCAUCGCUCAACGGAUAAAAGCUACCCUGGGGAUAACAGGCUUAUCUCCCCCAAGAGUCCACAUCGACGGGGAGGUUUGGCACCUCGAUGUCGGCUCAUCACAUCCUGGGGCUGUAGUAGGUCCCAAGGGUUGGGCUGUUCGCCCAUUAAAGUGGUACGCGAGCUGGGUUCAGAACGUCGUGAGACAGUUCGGUCCCUAUCCGUCGCAGGCGUAGGAAAUUUGAGAAGACCUGUCCUUAGUACGAGAGGACCGGGAUGGACGUACCUCUGGUGUACCAGUUGUCCUGCCAAGGGCAUGGCUGGGUAGCUAUGUACGGAAUGGAUAAGCGCUGAAAGCAUCUAAGCGCGAAGCCAACUUCAAGAUAAGAUUUCCCACCGCAAGGGUAAGACCCCAGAAAGACUAUCUGGUUGA